AUUGAACGCUGGCGGCAUGCCUUACACAUGCAAGUCGAACGGCAGCACGGGAGCUUGCUCCUGGUGGCGAGUGGCGAACGGGUGAGUAAUGCAUCGGAACGUAUCCUGGAGUGGGGGAUAACGUAGCGAAAGUUACGCUAAUACCGCAUAUUCUGUGAGCAGGAAAGCGGGGGACCUUCGGGCCUCGCGCUCUUGGAGCGGCCGAUGUCGGAUUAGCUAGUUGGUGAGGUAAAGGCUCACCAAGGCGACGAUCCGUAGCAGGUCUGAGAGGAUGAUCUGCCACACUGGAACUGAGACACGGUCCAGACUCCUACGGGAGGCAGCAGUGGGGAAUUUUGGACAAUGGGGGCAACCCUGAUCCAGCCAUGCCGCGUGAGUGAAGAAGGCCUUCGGGUUGUAAAGCUCUUUCGCGAGGGAAGAAAUUGCGCCGGAUAAUACCUGGUGUAGAUGACGGUACCUUGAUAAGAAGCACCGGCUAACUACGUGCCAGCAGCCGCGGUAAUACGUAGGGUGCAAGCGUUAAUCGGAAUUACUGGGCGUAAAGCGUGCGCAGGCGGUUUGCUAAGACCGAUGUGAAAUCCCCGGGCUCAACCUGGGAACUGCAUUGGUGACUGGCAGGCUAGAGUAUGGCAGAGGGGGGUAGAACUCCACGUGUAGCAGUGAAAUGCGUAGAGAUGUGGAGGAAUACCGAUGGCGAAGGCAGCCCCCUGGGCCAAUACUGACGCUCAUGCACGAAAGCGUGGGGAGCAAACAGGAUUAGAUACCCUGGUAGUCCACGCCCUAAACGAUGUCAACUAGUUGUUGGGGAUUCAUUUCCUUAGUAACGUAGCUAACGCGUGAAGUUGACCGCCUGGGGAGUACGGUCGCAAGAUUAA
rnacentral:rRNA from 1 species